rnacentral:rRNA from 1 species
GACGAACGCUGGCGGCGUGCUUAACACAUGCAAGUCGAACGGAAAGGCCUGCUUUCCCUUGUGGAUUGCGGGUACUCGAGUGGCGAACGGGUGAGUAACACGUGAGUGAUCUGCCCCCAACUUGGGUAUAAGCCUGGGAAACUGGGUCUAAUUCCCGAUAGGACUGCAGGGUGGUGCCUGUGGUGGAAAACGAUUUUCUAGUGGUUGGGGAUGAGCUCGCGGCCUAUCAGCUUGUUGGUGGGGUAAUGGCCUACCAAGGCGGCGACGGGUAGCCGGCCUGAGGGGGGGGGCGGCGACAGUGGGACCGGGAACCGGGCCAGAGUGCUACGGCAGGCAGCCGUGGGGGAGAUUGCACAAUGGGCGGAAGCCUGAUGCAGCGAAGCCGCGUGGGGGAUGACGGCCUUCGGGUUGUAAACUCCUUUCGAGCGCGAGGAAGCCACCUGGUUGGAAGGGUGGUGACGGUAGUGGUAGAAGAAGCACCGGCUAACUACGUG